GGUUGAUCCUGCCGGACCCCACUGCUAUCGAGGUGGGACUAAGCCAUGCUAGUCGAACGAACUUAGGUUAGUGGCACACUGCUCAGUACACGUAGCUAACCUACCCUUAAGACGGGGACAACCCCGAGAAAUUGGGGCUAAUAGGCGAUAGGUGUGAUGUCCUGGAAUGGUAUCACGCCCAAAGGUAUCCCAUACAUGUUUGGUAUACGCCUAAGGAUGGGGCUGCGGCCGAUCAGGCAGUUGGUGAGGUAAUGGCUCACCAAACUUUGACCGGUACGGGCCAUGAGAGUGGUAGCCCGGAGAUGGACACUGAGACAAGGGUCCAGGCCCUACGGGGCGCAGCAGGCGCGAAACCUCCUCAAUGCACUAACGUGCGAAGGGGUUACCUCGAGUGCCACCUGAAGAAGGUGGCUUUUCCUUGGUCUAAAAAGCCUCGGGAAUAAGAGGGGGGCAAGACUGGUGUCAGCCGCCGCGGUAACACCAGCCCCUCGAGUGGUGGGGAUGAUUAUUUGGCCUAAAGCGUCCGUAGCCGGCCGGGUAAGUCUCCCGUUAAAUCCAGCGUCUCAAGCGUUGGACUGCGGGAGAUACUGCCUGGCUAGAGAGUGGGAGAGGUCAGCGGUAUUCUGGGGGUAGGGGCGAAAUCCUUUGAUCCCCGGAGGACCACCAGUGGCGAAGGCUGCUGACUAGAACACGUCUGACGGUCAGGGACGAAAGCUGGGGUAGCGAACCGGAUUAGAUACCCGGGUAGUCCCAGCCGUAAACGAUGCAUGCUAGGUGUUGGGUUGGUCACGAGCCACCCCAGUGCCGCAGGGAAGCCGUUAAGCAUGCCGCCUGGGAAGUACGAUCGCAAGGUUGAAACUUAAAGGAAUUGGC
rnacentral:rRNA from 1 species